AUCAAACUCAGACUCAUUUAUCCACCAUCCGGUCCUGUAUUUCAAAGCUGAAAUCAGUGUCAAAGAGAACUAAAGAAAUCACAGGAAUGAAAAUCCAAAUUUGCUUUCUUUGUAGAAAUCCUACUGCCAGAUCCUCAAUCUGCUGUCAAGAAUUAGUCACCUUUCCUGGGACAACAAGGAUAUAACAACGCGAGCAGGAAGAAUAGCAAAGCACAAAACUUCAGUCUCCUAACGGAACCAGGGGAAUACAGAUAAAUUAUUAUGCAAACCUCAUAAUUCCAUAUGUCCUUUGAUCAAUAUUUUUCUCUUAAAACUUAAUAGCAAA
rnacentral:lncRNA from 1 species